rnacentral:rRNA from 1 species
GACAGAGGAUGCAAGCGUUAUCCGGAAUGAUUGGGCGUAAAGAGCUCGUAGGCGGUUUGUCGCGUCUGCUGUGAAAACCCGAGGCUCAACCUCGGGCCUGCAGUGGGUACGGGCAGACUAGAGUGCGGUAGGGGAGAUUGGAAUUCCCGGUGUAGUGGUGAAAUGCGUAGAGAUCGGGAGGAACACCUGUGGCGAAGGCGGCCCCCUGGCCGGCCCUGACACUGAGACGCGAAGGCGUGGGGGGAGCGAACGGGG